UGAGGAUUUUUUAAUGCGAAAAAAAGAGCGGAGAAAAAAACGGCGAAGGGGGAAAGGGGAAAAAUAAAGCUUUAUUUUUCCCCUUUCCCCCUUCGCCGUUUUUUUCUCCGCUCUUUUUUUCGCAUUAAAAAAUCCUCAA